rnacentral:rRNA from 1 species
UGGGGAAUAUUGCACAAUGGGCGCAAGCCUGAUGCAGCCAUGCCGCGUGUGUGAAGAAGGCCUUCGGGUUGUAAAGCACUUUCAGCGGGGAGGAAGGCGAUAAGGUUAAUAACCUCAUUGAUUGACGUUACCCGCAGAAGAAGCACCGGCUAACUCCGUGCCAGCAGCCGCGGUAAUACGGAGGGUGCAAGCGUUAAUCGGAAUUACUGGGCGUAAAGCGCACGCAGGCGGUUUGUUAAGUCAGAUGUGAAAUCCCCGGGCUCAACCUGGGAACUGCAUCUGAUACUGGCAAGCUUGAGUCUCGUAGAGGGGGGUAGAAUUCCAGGUGUAGCGGUGAAAUGCGUAGAGAUCUGGAGGAAUACCGGUGGCGAAGGCGGCCCCCUGGACGAAGACUGACGCUCAGGUGCGAAAGCGUGGGGAGCAAACAGG